GAAAAAGACCGCCCCCAUGGUAUUAUAUUAAGAAGAAGCUUAAUCUUCUUCUGACCGAGAAAAUCCCCCGAAUUCUCAGCCAUGCUAGCGAGGGGAAUUUUUUUUAUACAGCAUCCGAUACAACCCAUAUAUACGAGGAUGACCACAACUAGAUACAUCCGUUCCACUGUGCAAAUAUGCGCUCCUGCAAGGUGCAAGACCAGGGCCUCGAACCCCCAACCCGUUGGUUGCCCAUCGGUAACCCAACCACCGAACCACCGCGCUACACGCAAGUUCGCUUCUU
rnacentral:lncRNA from 1 species